rnacentral:rRNA from 1 species
CAGUAGCCGCGGUAAUACGGAGGAUCCAAGCGUUAUCCGGAAUCAUUGGGUUUAAAGGGUCCGUAGGCGGUCUUGUAAGUCAGUGGUGAAAGCCCAUCGCUCAACGGUGGAACGGCCAUUGAUACUGCAGUACUUGAAUUAUUGGGAAGUAACUAGAAUAUGUAGUGUAGCGGUGAAAUGCUUAGAGAUUACAUGGAAUACCAAUUGCGAAGGCAGGUUACUACCAAUUGAUUGACGCUGAUGGACGAAAGCGUGGGUAGCGAACAGGAUUAGAUACCCCCGUAGUCCCUGUCUCUUAUAC